GAUGAACGCUGGCGGCGUGCCUAAUACAUGCAAGUCGAGCGAACGGACGAGAAGCUUGCUUCUCUGAUGUUAGCGGCGGACGGGUGAGUAACACGUGGAUAACCUACCUAUAAGACUGGGAUAACUUCGGGAAACCGGAGCUAAUACCGGAUAAUAUUUUGAACCGCAUGGUUCAAAAGUGAAAGACGGUCUUGCUGUCACUUAUAGAUGGAUCCGCGCUGCAUUAGCUAGUUGGUAAGGUAACGGCUUACCAAGGCAACGAUGCAUAGCCGACCUGAGAGGGUGAUCGGCCACACUGGAACUGCGACACGGUCCAGACUCCUACGGGAGGCAGCAGUAGGGAAUCUUCCGCAAUGGGCGAAAGCCUGACGGAGCAACGCCGCGUGAGUGAUGAAGGUCUUCGGAUCGUAAAACUCUGUUAUUGGGGAAGAACAUAUGUGUAAGUAACUGUGCACAUCUUGACGGUACCUAAUCAGAAAGCCACGGCUAACUACGUG
rnacentral:rRNA from 1 species